UCCUGUUUCCGGAUUAUUCAAACGUGCCUUUUUUUCUCUGGAGGCAUUGUGCAUCAUUAGAGCUUGGCCGCUUCUGGGAAUCGCUUCACGGCUAUCAGUCACCUUUCAGUUGGCAUUGUGCAUUGGCCCAAGAAGAAGAUACUGCAUCUUCUGGAGGAGGCUCUUUUUUCUGUUGGAGUAAUCCAUAGCUUGUCACUUUUCAGCUAGGAUACCUGCAGCUUCAAUUCGUCGAUCUUGCAAGAAGGCUCAGCAACAAGGGUGUACUGCGACUGGCUUCCCUCGGCGUGUCAUCAUGCAUGUGAGAUGGUGAUGAUCACCGUCGUCCUCGCCGUCACCUCGCUCCCCGCUGCAUCUGUCCGUCGCUGCACCGCCGGCCAUGAUUGCGCCGGACGGGAUGGAAGAAAAGCCGGAGUUGAAGGUGCAGAGCCGAACAUGGGACUAGAGACUAGCUCCUGGCCUCGUGGUUGCAUUGUCGUGCGCAUUGAGAUUUGGUCACCAUGGAAUGGAAGAUCUUGUUUGUUCAAAACGGCAGGGCGUCCAACGGGCAAGGAAGGACAGGUUCCAUUAGGGAGGAGGAGAGAGAAGCCUGCGUCGCACAGGCUGUUCGACAUGGCUAAAACACAUGGGGGCGUGGCCCGUAUCAUUUGACCCCCUCUCCCUCUGUUGCUCCUCUGGUUGCUCUUCUGCCCGAGCACAUGUUUACCUGACUGAUCAUUACGAUUUGAACGUUAUUAGGCGGCGUCGUAGGGAACGGAGAAGGUAAUUAUUGGAGGGGUAAUGUAUGUAAAGUGGUGGCGAGUGAGCCUGCAUGGCAUUGCCACUUCUCCAUGACUCCAUGUCCUUGCUGUCUUCUUUUUCUCCGGUGUCAGUCAGUCAGUACUGCUUGGCUGGCCGGUUGGAGUUGUAGUAGUUGUUGUUAAAGUGGUGGUGGUGGUACGACUACUACUGCAGGAAUAGGUGUAUUCUGCCUUUUUCCCAGUGGCUUUUGCAACUUGGUAGGUACUAUAUUUUGUACACAUCUCAUGUAGUACCUAGUUGGGAAUAUGAUGCUUUGAGAGGGUUAAGCAAGCUUGUGUUGUGUUGUUAUUCCUCUCUCUCUCUCUCAUUGGGUCCUACUUAGCUGCCCCUCUUUCCUCAUCUUAGACUGAUGAUUCAGCUUCCAGCACAAUGAAAUCAAGGUACUAGCUCUUAUUCGCUUUUGCUCUCUGGUCAAUACAUGAAUGAGUAUUGGACCCUAGCUUGCUGCAAGUGUAGACAAGAAAAGUGUGUACAAUGCCUGUCAAGGAACGAGACCCACAGGCACAGGGGAGUAAAGCAGUAUGACCAGCAAGGCUUGUAUGAUCGAAGCAAUGAACCCUCCCCUGUUUUGAGGUGUUCUUGGGGAAGGAUGUUGGCCAAAGACACACGUGUCAUUUUGAUUCCUCUGCCAAAUCGUAAUCAGACGGAAUAAGCUGGGAUGAGGAUGGCGCCAUAUUGUGAAGAGGCUCGAUCUGUUUCUUUUAGGGAUAGACGUGGAGCGAACUAUUGAUCUAUUUUAAUUUAAUUAACUAGCUAGUUAUUUUGAUUAGAUCAAAAUAAGUAAUUAGUUAAUUAAGUUAUACUAUGAUGAAUUUAUAGAUAUAUAUUGGUGCUCCCCAUCUAUCUCUAAUGCCGGUGCAAAACGUUCUUGCCACGAAAGGGGGGAACACCUGAGAGGGAUGGAUGCCUCUCGUUUUCCUGAGGCUGAGCUUUCUCUCGCAGGGAUUGAGGCAUU